rnacentral:rRNA from 1 species
GAUGAACGCUAGCGGCAGGCUUAACACAUGCAAGUCGAGGGGUAUGCUUCUUCGGGAGCAGAGACCGGCACACGGGUGCGUAACGCGUAUGCAAUCUGCCUUUUACAGGGGGAUAGCCCAGAGAAAUUUGGAUUAAUACCCCAUGGUAUUAUAGGGUGGCAUCACCUUAUAAUUAAAGUCACAACGGUAAAAGAUGAGCAUGCGUCCCAUUAGCUUGUUGGUAGGGUAACGGCCUACCAAGGCUACGAUGGGUAGGGGUCCUGAGAGGGAGAUCCCCCACACUGGUACUGAGACACGGACCAGACUCCUACGGGAGGCAGCAGUGAGGAAUAUUGGUCAAUGGGCGCAAGCCUGAACCAGCCAUGCCGCGUGCAGGAUGACGGUCCUAUGGAUUGUAAACUGCUUUUGUACGGGAAGAAACACUCCUACGUGUAGGAGCUUGACGGUACCGUAAGAAUAAGGAUCGGCUAACUCCGUGCCAGCCGCCGCGGUAACAC